GUACACACCGCCCGUCGCUGCCCGGGACUGAGCCAUUUCGAGAAACUUGGGGACUGCUGAUCCGGUGGCUUCGGCCUCCGCUUCGGUGGAAACCAAUUUAAUCGCAGUGGCUUGAACCGGGCAAAAGUCGUAACAAGGUAGCUGUAGGUGAACCUGCUGCUGGAUCAUUACACGUACCGUGAUGGU
rnacentral:rRNA from 21 species